GAUGAACGCUGGCGGCGUGCCUAAUACAUGCAAGUCGAGCGAACAGACGAGGAGCUUGCUCCUCUGACGUUAGCGGCGGACGGGUGAGUAACACGUGGAUAACCUACCUAUAAGACUGGGAUAACUUCGGGAAACCGGAGCUAAUACCGGAUAAUAUAUUGAACCGCAUGGUUCAAUAGUGAAAGACGGUUUUGCUGUCACUUAUAGAUGGAUCCGCGCCGCAUUAGCUAGUUGGUAAGGUAACGGCGUACCAAGGCAACGAUGCGUAGCCGACCUGAGAGGGGGAUCGGCCACACUGGAACUGAGACACGGUCCAGACUCCUACGGGAGGCAGCAGUAGGGAAUCUUCCGCAAUGGGCGAAAGCCUGACGGAGCAACGCCGCGUGAGUGAUGAAGGUCUUCGGAUCGUAAAACUCUGUUAUUAGGGAAGAACAAAUGUGUAAGUAACUAUGCACGUCUUGACGGUGCCUAAUCAGAAAGCCACGGCUAACUACGUGCCAGCCGCCGCAGUAA
rnacentral:rRNA from 1 species